UUACGGCCACAUCACGUUGAAACACAGGUUCCCAUACGAUCACCGCAGUUAAGCAACAUUGAGCCUGGUCAGUACGCGGAUGGGAAACAGUUUGGGAAUACCAAGU